AUUGAACGCUGGCGGCAUGCUUUACACAUGCAAGUCGAACGGUAACAGGCCUUCGGGCGCUGACGAGUGGCGAACGGGUGAGUAAUGCAUCGGAACGUGCCCAGUCGUGGGGGAUAACGCAGCGAAAGCUGUGCUAAUACCGCAUACGAUCUAUGGAUGAAAGCGGGGGACCGUAAGGCCUCGCGCGAUUGGAGCGGCCGAUGUCAGAGUAGGUAGUUGGUGGGGUAAAGGCUCACCAAGCCGACGAUCUGUAGCUGGUCUGAGAGGACGACCAGCCACACUGGGACUGAGACACGGCCCAGACUCCUACGGGAGGCAGCAGUGGGGAAUUUUGGACAAUGGGCGCAAGCCUGAUCCAGCAAUGCCGCGUGCAGGAAGAAGGCCUUCGGGUUGUAAACUGCUUUUGUACGGAACGAAACGGUCCUGGUUAAUACCCGGGGCUAAUGACGGUACCGUAAGAAUAAGCACCGGCUAACUACGUGCCAGCAGCCGCGGUAACAC
rnacentral:rRNA from 1 species